rnacentral:rRNA from 1 species
GAUGAACGCUGGCGGCGUGCCUAAUACAUGCAAGUCGAACGAAGCUGUUUUAACUGGUGCUUGCACCGACUUAAACAACUGAGUGGCGAACGGGUGAGUAACACGUGGGUAACCUGCCCCAAAGCGGGGGAUAACAUUUGGAAACAGAUGCUAAUACCGCAUAACCACAGAAACCACAUGGUUUCUGUGUCAAAGAUGGUUUCGGCUAUCACUUUGGGAUGGACCCGCGGCGUAUUAGCUAGUUGGUAAGGUAAUGGCUUACCAAGGCAAUGAUACGUAGCCGAACUGAGAGGUUGAUCGGCCACAUUGGGACUGAGACACGGCCCAAACUCCUACGGGAGGCAGCAGUAGGGAAUCUUCCACAAUGGACGAAAGUCUGAUGGAGCAACGCCGCGUGAGUGAAGAAGGUUUUCGGAUCGUAAAACUCUGUUGUCAGAGAAGAACGUGUGCGAGAGUAACUGUUCGUGCAGUGACGGUAUCUGGCCAGAAAGCCACGGCUAACUACGUGCCAGCAGCCGCUGUAA